GGGGCAAGGGUGCCUCCAGCCGUUACGGGAGGCACGGGAUGCUGCUGCAGGAGCUGGAGGAGCUGUCACUGGCAGAGAUGCGUGGGCAGAGGUGGCCCUCCCCUUGGCAUCAGGCACCUAGAGUCUGCCUAAGCGUCUUCCUCCCUCAGUAAGAGUCCGCUGGGGUCCGGAGAGAAUUGGGCCAGCAACUGCUACCUCAUCUGAGGACCCCUACUGUCUUUGGGGGAGUGGAGGGUUGCGCCGGGCGGUCCAGGGCAGCGUGUAAGGGCAGAUCCCGGGCAGUCCUGGAGCCCGAGCCCAGCUGAGGCUGCAGGUUGGGGUGCGGCUGGAUUUGUUGUAAGGUGGUUGCUUGACAACGCUGCCCGGGCUAAUUCCGCCAGCCGUGAAGGUGCAGCAGCAGGAGAUCCUGCAGCUUAUGGCUACAGCCUGUGGCCAGUACUGACCAAGGGACCCCCGGAUUGAACCUCACCAGUCCUUCCUCUUGCCUUUUGUGGGCGACUCCAAGCUGGGCACCUCGCUGGGGCGGGGAAGGGCACAAUUAGCUCUCCCUUGGAGAAGUUCCUCACUGGGAUUCAUCCCUUGGGUUUAGAUCUGGCUCUGCUUUCUGUCUGAAGGAAAGCUGCGAUCUUGCCAGGAGAGAUGGCCUUGGAGAGGUACCAGACAGAAUCUGAAGAAUGGCAGAUAAUUUAGACCAGUUUAUUGAAGAACGAAAGGCUAGACUGACAAAAGACAAAGCAGAGUUGGAAAAAGAUCCUCCUUAUAUGGAUAUAAAGAGCAAUGCUGGAGAAAAGCUUUCAGACAACAGCAAAAUACUAAUAUCCAUGGCCAAAGAAAACAUACCGCCAAAUCGUCAAGAGAACAGAGAUUCUUUAGGGAUUGACUAUGGAUUGAGUUUACCACUUGGUGAAGACUAUGAAAGGAAGAAACAUAAACUAAAGGAAGAACUUCGCCAAGAUUAUAGACGGUAUCUUACUCAGAAAAACUUUGUGUCUACGGGUGAAAUAGAUCCAUCUACUCUUGGAGUACCUCUUCCUAUUGGUGAGAGGUUAUCUGCCAAGGAGAGAUUGAAACUUGAAAGAAACAAAGAGUACAAUCAAUUUCUCAGGGACAAGGAAGAAUGGAAUGAAAAGUUCAGAGAAAUAGAGAAGAAAAAUCCAGAGCAUGAAAGUGAAGGAAAUAAAACCAUCAGUAAAAUUAAGUCCGAUUUACAUUCACAAAUACAGUCAUCAAACAGAAAUACAGAAGCCCCCCCAAAAGAUGUUUCAUUGUCAACAGAGACCUAUGAAGAACUUUUAAAUCAGAGACGGUUGGAAGAGGACAGAUAUCGAAGAUUAGAUGAUGAAAUUGAGUUAAGAGAUGCAAAACCACAUAAAAAACCUAAUGAAGGGGACGUUUCCAAUAGAAAACAUUAUGAGAUUGCCAACAAAGUUGAUGUUCCUGUUAGAAGAUACUAUAGAUUCAAAGAAGAUCAAAAUUUUGACAAACAUUAUUAUAAACCAAACUCUGGUCCUGAAGGAAAUGAAGAAAUGGACCCAAGGGUUAGAUAUGAGAGUGAUUAUGAUAGAAGACCUCUGAGGGUGUUUACAACUGACAGGAUGUACAGAAACAGAAGAGAAAGAGUUCCUCCUAUGGAAUAUGAGGAAGAUUUUCCAGAACAAUCAAACAUACGUGUUUCAUCGGCCGGAAAUAACAGUGUGCCAAACAGCCAUCAUGGUGAUGAACGAUCAAAGUCUGCCACUAUUAAAAUGGAGAGUCCUUUUGCAGGGAUGAUUUUUGCAGGUCAAGAUCGAGAUACUAUUCGAAGAAGGAAAGAAAAGUACAGACAAGAACUGCUGGAACAAAUAGCUCAGCAGCAGAGGAAUAAGAGACGCGAAAAAGAACUAGAACUCAGUGUUGCAGCUACUGGAGAAGUUGACCCAGAGAAAUCGCGGAAUGGAUUACUAACGUCAUUGCAGCUAAGUAAAAAGGAGCCUGAUAGACUAAAGCAGUUAGGUAUGAGCUCAAGAUAUUUUGAAAAGAAGUUUUCACUUUUUGAAGAGAGGAUACCACCAGAAAGGCCCAAAGUAGCUUUCCAGACACCUCUUCCCGCCUUAUCUGACCUGCCUAGGACAUCUUUAAGUGAAGACUUUAACCAAGGGAUCAACACUACCCUUGGUGAAAUGAUGUCGUCCAGGAUUACAUCUCUACCUCCACCUCUUCCCCCUCCACCUGCACCGUCUUUGCUCAAUUAUCGAACUCCUUAUGAUGAAGCAUAUUAUUUUUAUGGGGCCAGGAAUCCUUUGGAUCCCAGUCUUGUAUAUUAUAACCCAGGAAUGAUGGGAAUACCUCCACCAACCUUGAGUGCUCCUGAUACUCAUGAACCAGUAGGACCCAUUGUGAACAAAAGUAUUUUGAAUGAACUGAGCACCGUGAGUGAUAGAACAAGAACAGGAGGAUUGAUUUUUGAAGAUAAACCAAGGCCUACAAAGGAAUCCGUUCAAUCUUAUCAAUAUGAUUUGCAACAACAGAUACGAGAAAGAGAAGCAAGACGGAGGAAAGAGCGAGAAGAAAAAGAAGAAUAUGAAGCUAAACUUGAAGCUGAAAUGAAAAAUUACAAUCCCUGGGGAAAAGGUGGAGGGGGUGCUCCACUCAGAGAUGCCAGAGGAAACCUGAUAACUGAUUUGAAUAGGAUGCACAGACAAAAUAUAGAUGCCUACCAUAACCCAGAUGCAAGAACACAUGAAGAUAAAAGAGCUGUUGUCUCUCUAGACCAAAAUUUAGCCACUACAAAUGCUGAGAACCUAGAAGAUCCUGCAAAUACAAAUUCAGGUCAAAUAGGUACACAGAGCUCUCCUUUUGCCCGGGGAAACAUUUUUGGUGAGCCGCUAACUGAACUUCAGAUUAAACAGCAAGAAGCUUACAAGAAUUUUCUUCGUUUUCAGAUUGAGGAAAAGAAACAAAGAGAAGAAGCAGAGCGAGAGAGGCAGAGACGUGAAGAAGAGAAAGAAGAAAAACGUCUAGCAGAACAGAGGGCCAGAAUUCAACAAGAAUAUGAAGAAGAGCAAGAAAAGAAAAGGGAGAAAGAGGAAGAGCAAAGACUAAAAAAUGAAGAGCUGAUACGGUUAGCUGAAGAAAGACGAAAAGAAGCAGAAAGAAAGAAGAAAGAAGAGGAAAAAAAACAUGAUUUACAACUUGAACACUAUUAUGAACGAAAAAAAACAGAUGGAGAACAGAUAAUAAGGCAAUCCAGAUCACCUUCUCCUGUGGUUCCUGCUCUUCAGAACAAAAUCAAAAGCAAAGUCCAUGGGUCUCCUUCAGUUGCAUCUACUGUGAUUCAUGAUCGCCCACGUUCCAGAGUACAUUCUCCUCCAGUACCUGCUAGAAAAAACCAGCUUCGUGCAGAUGAGGAGAAAAAAAAUGUAAUUAAUGAAUUAUCAGAAAUGAGGAAACAGCUUCGUAGUGAAGAGCGGCGUCUUCAAGGGAAAUUGCUGCAGGUAGAUGGUGAUGAUGAAAGAAGCUUCAGGAAAAGAGAAAAGUAUCCCAUGGAUAUAUUUGAUAUGGCCAGAUUUCGAUUGCAAGCUCCUGUCAGAAGACCUUCUUCCAAGGGGCUAGAUCCUACUGCCCAGAAUAUUCGUGACUUUAAUUUUCUUAAGGAUAUGGAUUCAGAUACACGAAUUGAUUUGAGAUAUAUGUAUCCUGAGUCUCCAAAAGAUGAUCAAACAUUAGAGAUUCAGCAGCAGGCAUUGCUAAGAGAGCAGCAGAAGAGAUUAAAUAGACUUCGAAUGAGGGAAAAUGUAGAAGUUGACCUUGAUGCAAGUCCUGGCAUUAACUUACAAGAUACUAGAAUGCCUAGGAAUGAAACUAGGGAUUUCCUGAAAAAUUCUCUUUUGGAAUCUGAGAGUGCUUUUAUUGGGACUAAUGGAGAGAGGUAUUCUCCCUUAGAAGAUGAUCCUUUACCUUCACAGAGAUUACUGUCUGCAAGGGAACGUAGAAGGAACCAGAUUAAAGGCCUGGAAUCUGUUGUGUGUAUGGAUAAUUUUCAUCCUUCUGUGCAACCUGAUGGUUUCUCCUUGAAGUCAGUAUCCAGUAUAAAUGUUGACCAGCUUAGAAUUAGAAAUGAAGAACGAAUGCGAAGACUAAAUGAGCUGCAGAAAAAACCUAUUGAUACAGCAUGAAAAUGAAUGAAUGAUUGAACUUGGGUAAUCUCCAAACUAGGGGUUUUUCAAAGGGAGGGGAGGAGGAGCUUUUGGGUUUGAUGUGGAUUGAUUGCUCAUUAAAUUGUUUUCACGUGCCCCUUUGCUGUACCAGCCCUUCACAGACCAGGAGAUGUAAUUUUAAAAAGAAAUGAAAUUUCCAUCACAGGAUGAUGAAGUUUCUCUGGUUGAUCCAGAUGAUAUUCUUAAGCACUUUACAUCCCAUGGUGGUGAAAGAAGACCCAGUUCUGGAGAAACUGUAGCCACAGAGCCUUGGCUCCGACCUGGAACAUCAGAGACUUUGAAAAGGUUCGUGGUUGACCAGUUGAACCAAGAGCAGCGUUCCUCUGAAAAUCCAUUACCUUUUAAUUGGCAGGGCCUUUCUACAGCACAUGGUUAAAAAAUAAAUCUAGAUUGGAACCAGUUGUGCCUUUCAAGGUAAAAGGAAUGUUAAUCUGAUCUGCUGAAUUUUUUUUGUAUUCUAGGCCUUAUUCCCUAUCUCCCGUUAUCAUCCCUUCAUGUAGAUGGACAAUUUUUAACCUGUAAAAUACAAACACUACUAAAUAUGUAAAUAUGUAUUUUUUCCCAUAUUUUGUUGCUUUUAUGUACUCCAUGAAAUUGUAUAGGAUUUUUUUAAAGCCACCAUUACUGUUAAUUACGCAAUGCAUAAAGUAUGGAAUUAUUUUCACACACAUUUUGCCAUAAUUAACUUGUAGUGGUAAUGAAAAGUACUUGUAACUGACUACCGUAUGUGCAUUAUCUUUAUUCUGCCUGUUACUAGGAUGAAAUGAAUAAAAUUUUAAAGUGUCUUAAUACAUGUAAAACUUGAAGAUCUUUUCGUUGUGUGUCUAUAAAUGCACAACUUUGCCAGUGUCAUCAAUAUUCAAAAUCAUCUUUUAGCAAAUACUCCAGCAUGUGUGGUAGCUCUGACCACUUCCCUUACCAGCUACUCUUACUUAAAUAUGGAAGCAAAGAUGGUUUUUAGUUCUACAUCAUUUAUCGUGUAAGUAAAUGGUAGGGAUCAUAAUCAAUUUUGAUUUUGUUCCAAUCAGUUAUAUACUAAAAUGCAAAUUACAUCUUUUUUCUGUCUCUUGAAUUUUGGUGCCAACGAAGGCUUUGUCUUAAGUUAAUGUCUAAUUUAUGGUAUGAUUUAACUACUUGUUUGUUAAUGAAAAUAAAAAUUUUAUUUUAUUAUCAA